GAGUACGGCGGAACACGUGAAAUUCCGUCGGAAUCCGGGAGGACCAUCUCCCAAGGCUAAAUACUCCCUAGUGACCGAUAGUGAACCAGUACCGUGAGGGAAAGGUGAAAAGCACCCCGGAAGGGGAGUGAAACAGUUCCUGAAACCGUGUGCCUACAAGUAGUUAGAGCCCGUUAAUGGGUGAUAGCGUGCCUUUUGUAGAAUGAACCGGCGAGUUACGAUUUGUUGCAAGGUUAAGCGGAAAAAGCGGAGCCGUAGCGAAAGCGAGUCUGAAUAGGGCGCAUAAGUAACAGGUCGUAGACCCGAAACCAGGUGAUCUACCCAUGUCCAGGAUGAAGGUAAGGUAAUACUUACUGGAGGUCCGAACCCACGCACGUUGAAAAGUGCGGGGAUGAGGUGUGGGUAGCGGAGAAAUUCCAAUCGAACUUGGAGAUAGCUGGUUCUCUCCGAAAUAGCUUUAGGGCUAGCCUCGAGGUAAAGAGUCAUGGAGGUAGAGCACUGUUUGGACUAGGGGCCCUUCUCGGGUUACCGAAUUCAGAUAAACUCCGAAUGCCAUGUACUUAUACUCGGGAGUCAGACUGCGAGUGAUAAGAUCCGUAGUCGAAAGGGAAACAGCCCAGACCACCAGUUAAGGUCCCCAAAUAUAUGUUAAGUGGAAAAGGAUGUGGGGUUGCUUAGACAACCAGGAUGUUGGCUUAGAAGCAGCCACCAUUGAAAGAGUGCGUAAUAGCUCACUGGUCGAGUGACCCCGCGCCGAAAAUGUACCGGGGCUAAACAUAUUACCGAAACUGUGGAUGAACCUCUUUAGAGGUUCGUGGUAGGAGAGCGUUCUAAGGGCGGUGAAGUCAGACCGGAAGGACUGGUGGAGCGCUUAGAAGUGAGAAUGCCGGUAUGAGUAGCGAAAGAAGGGUGAGAAUCCCUUCCACCGAAUAUCUAAGGUUUCCUGAGGAAGGCUCGUCCGCUCAGGGUUAGUCGGGACCUAAGCCGAGGCCGAUAGGCGUAGGCGAUGGACAACAGGUAGAGAUUCCUGUACCAGUGCUAAUUGUUUAACCGAUGGGGUGACACAGAAGGAUAGGGAAUCGCACGAAUGGAAAUGUGCGUCCAAGCAGUGAGUGUGAGAAGUAGGCAAAUCCGCUUCUCGCGAAGCAUGAGCUGUGAUGGGGAAGGAAAUUAAGUACGGAAGUUCCUGAUUUCACGCUGUCAAGAAAAGCCUCUAGGAAGAGUAGUACUGCCCGUACCGCAAACCGACACAGGUAGAUGAGGAGAGAAUCCUAAGGUGAGCGAGAGAACUCUCGUUAAGGAACUCGGCAAAAUGACCCCGUAACUUCGGGAGAAGGGGUGCUCUAUUAGGGUGCAAGCCCGAGAGAGCCGCAGUGAAUAGGCCCAGGCGACUGUUUAGCAAAAACACAGGUCUCUGCAAAACCGUAAGGUGACGUAUAGGGGCUGACGCCUGCCCGGUGCUGGAAGGUUAAGAGGAGUGCUUAGCUUCGGCGAAGGUACGAAUUGAAGCCCCAGUAAACGGCGGCCGUAACUAUAACGGUCCUAAGGUAGCGAAAUUCCUUGUCGGGUAAGUUCCGACCCGCACGAAAGGCGCAACGAUCUGGGCACUGUCUCAACGAGAGACUCGGUGAAAUUAUAGUACCUGUGAAGAUGCAGGUUACCCGCGACAGGACGGAAAGACCCCGUGGAGCUUUACUGCAACCUGAUAUGGAAUGUUUGUACCGCUUGUACAGGAUAGGUAGGAGCCGAAGAGACGUGUGCGCUAGCAUACGAGGAGGCAAUGGUGGGAUACUACCCUGGCUGUAUGACCAUUCUAACCCGCCACGCUUAGCGCGUGGGGAGACAGUGUCAGGUGGGCAGUUUGACUGGGGCGGUCGCCUCCUAAAGAGUAACGGAGGCGCCCAAAGGUUCCCUCAGAAUGGAUGGAAAUCAUUCGCAGAGUGUAAAGGCACAAGGGAGCUUGACUGCGAGACUGACAAGUCGAGCAGGGACGAAAGUCGGGCUUAGUGAUCCGGUGGUUCCGCAUGGAAGGGCCAUCGCUCAACGGAUAAAAGCUACCCCGGGGAUAACAGGCUUAUCUCCCCCAAGAGUCCACAUCGACGGGGAGGUUUGGCACCUCGAUGUCGGCUCGUCGCAUCCUGGGGCUGUAGUCGGUCCCAAGGGUUGGGCUGUUCGCCCAUUAAAGCGGCACGCGAGCUGGGUUCAGAACGUCGUGAGACAGUUCGGUCCCUAUCCGUCGCGGGCGCAGGAAAUUUGAGAGGAGCUGUCCUUAGUACGAGAGGACCGGGAUGGACACACCGCUGGUGUACCAGUUGUUCCGCCAGGAGCAUCGCUGGGUAGCUAUGUGUGGCAGGGAUAAACGCUGAAAGCAUCUAAGCGUGAAGCCCCCCUCAAGAUGAGAUUUCCCAUUUCUUCGGAAAGUAAGAUCCCUGAAAGAUGAUCAGGUAGAUAGGUUUGGAGUGGAAGUGUAGCGAUACAUGGAGCGGACAAAUACUAAUCGAUCGAGGACUUAACCAAAA
rnacentral:rRNA from 1 species